GUCUAUAGCCAUGGUACCCUGAACAAAUCUGAACCCAUCUAAUCUCAGAAGCUAAGCAGAGCUGGGCCUGGUUAGUACUUGGAUGAGAAACCACCUAGGAAGACCAGGUGCUGUAGGUG
rnacentral:rRNA from 1 species